rnacentral:lncRNA from 1 species
AAUCAUUCAAAUAAAGUUCGAAUAAAAUUGGUUCAGUAGUUUCAGUCAGAAGAUCUUACACUGAACCAAUGGAUAACGUAAGUCAAAUAUCGUUGGGCAAGCUACUUUAAAAAUAACAGUUGGUAAGAAAAUGUUGGGCCAACAUUGGGCCAAUAACACCAAAAUGACAGUUGGUGGAAAGUCGUUGGGCCAACAAGGGGCCAAUAGUGUCAAAAUAACUGUUGGCUGAGUUUUGUUGGGCCAACGUCGGUUUCUUGUUGUGCUGCCAACGCCAACUAUUUACCAACUGUGCCAACCAAUCACCAAUGUUGGCCCAACAAAGUAUUGCUAUCUGGGU